CUAGGUUCAGUAUAGAUAGCCAGCCAUGGGAGUCAGAAUUUGAACUCAGAUCUGGUCUGGUUCUGAAGGUUCUGUUCUUUCCAGCUUUGAGACAAAGGAGCAAAUGUGAGAAGCGCCUUUUGCUCACUUCUGCUUGCCAGCAGAAUUUCACAAAAGCCCGGGACUGUGAAGAUGUGCAGCUCUUUGGAAAGAUGCUUUGAAGACGAAACCUUUAACAGGGUUAGUGCCUAUGCCUCUGUAAUCUACAACCAGAUGCACUCUUAUACCUAAGCCUUGAUGGGAUUCUGCUACGAUGUAACUUCUGAGCAAAUUUGAUGUGAUUGUGCAGGAAGAAGCAACAGGAUUCUACCCACCUAUAAUGAGAAAGUUUAACUUACUGACAUAUUCUCAUUGCUGAAGACUGUCUGAAUGAGGAUUUCAGUCUCAAGUCUAGAAUGUGAUUUCAUCUGGUAAAUGUCUUAUGGAAGGCUGAGGAGCAGCCUAAUGAGGCACUGCUGAGGUGGGAGGAGCUGAGAGGACUAUCUGGACUUACUUCCUUCAGAAUGAAAUCUUGAUAUUUUCAAAGCUUGUGUCCCUGGAACCCUCACUUGGAUUAGGGGGAGACCCCUCAUUUUAUUUAUUCAUGCUAGGGAUGGUAAUACCUUGUGCUCUAGGUCCCGGGCUUUCUAAAGAAGAUUAUUUUCAGCUUUAAAGUUAAAUGAUGCAUUGUUUGGGGGAGGAGAGGAGAUCCUUUGAUGAGGUCCUUUAAAAGAGUACCCCACCCCCAACGCUGUCCUCUUGCCUGCCUUGGCACAACCUGUCUGAGUCCUUUGGACAAAGAUAGUAAGCAUCAUCGCUUCUGUUUGGGGUUAGUUUUUCUUUCUGUUUCCAGGCGAAGUGGAGAUGCGGGCACGGAAGAAGCGCAUCUGUAGCUAAGAAAGAAAUACACUGACCCCAUUUCCAGUGGUUGAGCUUCUCUCCAAGUAGGUAGAUGCUGGCGAUGAAGAUGUGGCCGAGAGAGAAGAAAGCUGCUAGACCCACGAGGCUGAGUUUGGCAAACAUAGGAUACACCCAGGUACCUGUCUCAAAGUAGAGCCACAGGAUCCUGCAGGAAAUAAGAAAUCAUGGUGAUUAGAGCAGGAGGAGAAAAACAAGCCAUUUUCUCAUCAGGAUCAACGAGGUACUGGAACCUAGGCAGGGGAAAAGAAUCCUUAUCAGGGACAUUUGUCAACAGCUGUAGUAUUCCCACAAACCUAAGUAAGUGAGGCUUUUCUGGGUAAAUCAACUUGAUUCCAUAAGACAUGCUGUUUGAUGGGCUGGGCUGGGUUGUUUUACCUAACCCAUUAACAGUCAACAUUGGUGAAAAAAUAGAAGAGAACAUAGGGUUGGGCACCGUGGCUCCCACCUGUAAUCCGAGCACUUGGGGAGGCUGAGACAAGUGGAUCACCUGAAGUCAGGAGUUCAAGACAAGCCUGGCCAACAUGAUGAAACCCUGUCGCUACUAAAAAUAUAAAAAAUUAACUGGGCAUGGUGGCUCGGGCCUGUAGUCCCAGCUGCUUGGGAGGCUGAGGCAGGAGAAUCACUUGAACCUGGGAGGAAGAGGUUGCAGUGAGCCAAGAUCAUGCCACUGCACUUCAGCCUGGGGGACAAGAGUGAAACUUCGUCUCAGAAAAAAAAAAAGAAAAAAAAAGAGAGCGAGAACAUAGAACACAUUGUUAGCUAAAGGGAGUAUGUGGGAACAUGAAUGAUCCCUUUCCCUGAGAGGUAUGGCCUUCUGAGACAUCAAACCUGCUAUUAAGGAAUUCAUUUUGCUGGCUCUGAGCCAGAGAAGUGGGGUUUGCUUUUUUGGAUCUAAGAAUCGGGUGCAGCUUUCCAUUAGCUCUCCAAGUCUGCUGGGAUGAGGGAGCAGAGAUGGAGCGUGAUUGCCCUAAUACAACAUGCCUAGGAUUUAACUGUUGGCCCUGAUUUUCACUCAUGCAUAUAGUCAUAAAUAGAGUGUUAGGCAGGAAUGCAUGGAUUUGCAGGGAGACUCAGAUCUUGCUUAUGUGAGGAUAGGCUGUAAGUCAUUUCUGGAAGCCAAGAGAAGAAAAAGAAAUGCUAGGAGAAGAGCCAUGAUGUCUAAGUGAAGCCUAAAAAUGCAGUUUGCUGGAAACCAACUGCACUGGAAGGUGCCAAAGUCUGAAAUAACUUUUAAAAAUUAAAUGUGGGGAAGCUGAUGCAUCAGCUACAGUUCCUCAUUGGUUAGGAGCACAGAAUCUGGAACCGGGCUUCUGUGAUUCAAAUCCUAGCUCUGCCACCUAGUAGCUAUGUUACCUCCAGCAAUUUCGUCAACCUUUCUGUCCCCAUCCCCUCAAUGUGUAUAGUGAAGAUCCAAAUAGCAUACACCUUCUAAGGCUGUUGUAAGGAUUGCAGGAGUUAACACAUGUAAAGGAUACAGAACAGUGCUUGGCAUAUUGUAAUAUUUGACAAGAGUUCAAAAGCUUCCAUCUCCACUGAGGGAUGGCACAAUGGGAGUGCUCUCAGAAAACCUUCUUUGAAGCUGCUGAUCUCUUGUAACAAUUAGGAUAGGCCGGGUUAUGCUUCAAAAACAACUUUUAAAUUUGAAUCUCCCGUGUUAUCAAAGGAAUUCAGAUGGAAGAAUGAAAUUCUGUGCUUAAACUUUCAGAAACCCAAGGGUAAUCUCUGUCAUUUCAAAUACUAGAAGUUUGUGAAAUGUUUUGUGGAAGAGACAAGGGCUAUAUUCCGGGCCAGGAGUAGGGUGAAGCAAGAGAGGCCCUAGGGUGUAAAAUUUAAGGGAUUAUCUCUGUGCAUCAAAGGACGCAAUAAACAGUGUGAAAAGGCAAUCCAUGGAAUGGGAAACAAUAUUUCUAAUAAGGGGUUAAUAUCCAAAAUAUGUAAAAUAUUCCUGUAACUCAACAAUAACAACAAACCCAAAUAACCCAAUUAAAAAUGGACAAAGGACUUGAAUAGACAUUUUACAGAGAAGAUACAUGAAAGGCCAACAAAUGCAUGAAAGAAUGUUCAACAUCACUAAUAACUAGAAGAAAUGCAAAUCAAAAUGACAGUGAGAUAUUGUCUUACACUCAUUGGGAUGGAUACUAUAUAUUUUUUUUUAAAAAAGACAAGAUAACAAGUGUUAGUAAGGACAGAGAGAAAUUGGAACUCUUGUUCAUUGUUGGUAGGAAUGGAAGAUGGUACAUCUGCCUUGGAAAACUAUAUGGUGGUUCCCCCCAAAAUUAAAAUAGAAUUACCAUCUGAUCCAGCAAUUCCACUUCUGGGUACACACCCAAAAGAACUGAAAACAUGGCUAACACGGUGAAACCCCGUCUCUACUAAAUAUACAAAAAAUUAGCCAGGCAUGGUGGUGGGCAACCUGUAGUCCCAGCUACUUGGGAGGCUGAGGCAGGAGAAUGGUGUGAACCUGGAGGCAGAGCUUGCAGUGAGCGGAGAUCACGCCACUGCACUCAAGCCACUCCAGCCUGGGCAACAGAGCGAGACUCUGUCUCAAAAAA